rnacentral:rRNA from 1 species
GAUUAACGCUGGCGGCGUGCAUAACACAUGCAAGUCGAACGAUGAAACUCUAAUGAACCCUUCGGGGAGAGUUACAGCGGGUUAGUUGCCAACGGAUGAGUAACGCCUGAGUAACCUGCUUUACACAAGGGAAUAGCCCUAGGACACGAAGAGUAAUACUGCAUCAAACCAUAAAAGCACAAGCUAUUAUGGUCAAAGUGAUAGGGGUGUCAGACGGACUUGCGUCUGAUUUGCUAGGUGGCGAGAUAAAAGCCCACCAAGGCAACGAGCAGUGGCCGGCGGGGGAGAGUGGACGGCCGGAUUGGGACUGGGACACGGCCCAGACUCCUACGGGAGGGAGGAGUGGGGAAUUUUGCACAAGGGGGGAAACCCUGAUACAGCGACGCCGGGUGAUUUAGAAGGCGUUCGGGAUGUAAAAAUCUUUUGUAUAGGAAGAAAAUGACAGUACUAUACGAAUAAGGGCCGGCUAAUUACGUG